rnacentral:ncRNA from 4 species
CCUGUUGUUUCGUCAACAGUAGCCUAUGGGAACGUGCGAUAGUAAGCAAUGAGGUCGUGCGAUAGCAGAACCAACAAUGAAGCCCUUCCGAAAGGAGAAGUCAGAACCGCGAGGGAACGACAACUGCCGUUAGUAUCGAGUGGCAGGGG